rnacentral:lncRNA from 1 species
UGAGGUCAUUCCUGAAUAACAUGAGCUUAGAGAUAUAUGUUUUAUCAUGUCCUCUUCUCUAUUUUAGAAAACAACAACAACAACAAAAACUCAAGAAACAGGAAUGCAAGAUCUACAUUUUGUUAAAUUAAAGACAUCUCUUACUCAUAACAAUCAGAUAUAAAAAAGCGCUGCCGCAGGGGCAAGAAUGAGGCUAAGAAAGUCUUUUAUGGCUACAAGUCUUGAAUCAAGCUGACCGAGCAGUUCUUACACUGAGAAGCAAAACAACAACCUUUUGUUUCAAGAAACAGAUUCUUCAUUGUCCAUCUUUAUUAAUGAGGACUUAGAAUGAAUACUGUUGACAGAUGGAGGGACAAGAAAGGAGAUGGUGAUAGUGGUCUUGAAUCUCCGUAGACAAUGGGAAGAAGAAAUUAAUAGGACUUGUGACUGUUACGCGGAGGAGACAUGGUCACUAGAAUUUGGAAAUGAAACUUGGAUAUGACCAGUUUAUUGAGUAGACAGAAUGGAGAGAACAGCAGGAGGUAUUUGAAUGUCACCUGAAGGUUCAAGCUUUUCUGAGAUUACAAUGUAUCUCCUCCUACAAAAAAGGUAAGUUAUUUUUGCACCAAUACCCCUUAGCAAUGUGACUUUGUUGGUCAUCACAUCAAAAGGUGAGAUUUACCUCUUAAUCCCUUAAAUCAAACUUUGACCAUGUAACUUGCAUUGACUAAUUGGACAUUAGCAAAUGUGACAUAAGAAGGGGCUUGAAUAGUGCUAGUGCACUAGGCAUUGGCUUCUCUUGCUACUCUUAGAACUCAGGCACUCAGGGAAGAAGUCUGACUUUGUUAGGUACUGG